UACGUAGGGGGCAAGCGUUGUCCGGAUUUAUUGGGCGUAAAGAGCUCGUAGGCGGUUUGUUGCGUCGGCUGUGAAAACCUGAGGCUCAACCUCAGGCCUGCAGUCGAUACGAGCAGACUAGAGUGGUGCAGGGGAGACUGGAAUUCCUGGUGUAGCGGUGAAAUGCGCAGAUAUCAGGAGGAACACCGGUGGCGAAGGCGGGUCUCUGGGCAACAACUGACGCUGAGGAGCGAAAGCGUGGGGAGCGAACAGG
rnacentral:rRNA from 1 species